rnacentral:lncRNA from 1 species
CCCGCUCAACUUGAUCUGAGCUUAAAUCUAAACAAAUUUAGCCCAAAAAAUCCGAGUCCGAUAAUGCCUAAGCCUAAGAUAAUCUAAACUCUAAGAGAUUUAAGCUCGAGAUAAUCCGAAUCUAAGAAAAUUUGAAUUCGAAGUAAAUUCGAUCUUAACUCGUGCCCUACUUUGGGGGAUGGCUUGCACUGCACUCCUCUGCCUCUGCCUCGGUUCCAGCAGCAGUGAAUUUCCAGAAAGUGACAACAGAAUUUGGUUCCUGUGAGAAAAGGAAGGGCAAUCAAAUAUAAGCUAAGAAAUGUUUAAAGCUAAUUAUAGAUACAUUCUACCUGC